rnacentral:rRNA from 1 species
GCAGUGGGGAUAUUGCACAAUGGGGGAAACCCUGAUGCAGCCAUGCCGCGUGUGUGAAGAAGGCCUUCGGGUUGUAAAGCACUUUCAGUAGGGAGGAAAGGGUGUAACUUAAUACGUUAUAUCUGUGACGUUACCUACAGAAGAAGGACCGGCUAACUCCGUGCCAGCAGCCGCGGUAAUACGGAGGGUCCGAGCGUUAAUCGGAAUUACUGGGCGUAAAGCGUGCGCAGGCGGUUUGUUAAGCGAGAUGUGAAAGCCCUGGGCUCAACCUAGGAAUAGCAUUUCGAACUGGCGAACUAGAGUCUUGUAGAGGGGGGUAGAAUUCCAGGUGUAGCGGUGAAAUGCGUAGAGAUCUGGAGGAAUACCGGUGGCGAAGGCGGCCCCCUGGACAAAGACUGACGCUCAUGCACGAAAGCGGGGGGAGCAAACAGGAUUAGAUACCCUGGUAGUC